rnacentral:rRNA from 1 species
GAUGGACCCGCGGUGCAUUAGCUAGUUGGUGAGGUAACGGCUCACCAAGGCAACGAUGCAUAGCCGACCUGAGAGGGUGAUCGGCCACACUGGGACUGAGACACGGCCCAGACUCCUACGGGAGGCAGCAGUAGGGAAUCUUCGGCAAUGGACGAAAGUCUGACCGAGCAACGCCGCGUGAGUGAAGAAGGUUUUCGGAUCGUAAAACUCUGUUGUUAGAGAAGAACAAGGAUGAGAGUAAAAUGUUCAUCCCUUGACGGUAUCUAACCAGAAAGCCACGGCUAACUACGUGCCAGCAGCCGCGGUAAUACGUAGGUGGCAAGCGUUGUCCGGAUUUAUUGGGCGUAAAGCGAGCGCAGGCGGUUUCUUAAGUCUGAUGUGAAAGCCCCCGGCUCAACCGGGGAGGGUCAUUGGAAACUGGGAGACUUGAGUGCAGAAGAGGAGAGUGGAAUUCCAUGUGUAGCGGUGAAAUGCGUAGAUAUAUGGAGGAACACCAGUGGCGAAGGCGGCUCUCUGGUCUGUAACUGACGCUGAGGCUCGAAAGCGUGGGGAGCGAACAGGAUUAGAUACCCUGGUA